GGCGAGAGUUACGGAGGCCGGUGAGGCUGCGGAGCCGCGUGGGUUGCUGGGACCCGGCGUGCGCGGAGUCCGUAUUUUAAACAUAGUUGUAACUCAAGAGGAGCUGAGAAUCUGAUGGCAUGGCUUUAGUUACCUUACGGAGGAACCUCUGUCACUUAUCUGAUUUUCGGAUACAUGGAGCUCUGGCUGCUCUAAAAACUCAGCAUGUAAAUCAUGUUCACAGGACAGUGAAAGAGCAUCUGUGUCCAUGGUUCUGGUCGCUGCAACCUGGGCCCAUCAGAGUCCGGUUCCAUCAUGCCCAUUGUAAGAAGUUUCAUUCAGAAAACGGAAAUGACCUCCAUCCAGUUGGGGAGCCAGGGUUCUCUCAAGUACACAACUGGGACAGAUUUGAGCACAAUGUUAAAAAUGUGGAGGAACAGAUGUUUUACAGGAAAAUAAACAGCUUCACUUCAUCAGGAGAAGUCUUACGUUUUAUAAGCACACUGGAGACUUUGCCUGAUACUAUGAUGGCAGAAGCCUUACGUCGGAUUUGUGAAGUGGAAAAAAAAAAUCAAAGGUUGCCGAAAGAAAUACUGGAGAGUAGUGCCUUUCAAGCUUUGUGUGAUCGGUUUGGACGGGAUCCCUCGAAUCUGUCAAAUGCGGGUUUGGUGACUGCUUUUCAAGCCCUGACUCUGUUGUAUGGGGAUGCCCAGAGUCAGUUGCUGAUGAACCUGGAGGCAGAAUGCCAGCAUCGUCUUGAAAGGGGCGGCCUGGACAGACAUAGUCUUUGUAUUCUGGGGGAAAGUCUGAUUAAACUGCACGGCCCAGGUUGUUCGACGCUAGACCUGAUCAUAUAUCAACUGCAAGGGGAAAGUUUGGAAACAUUUACCCCCGAGGAUAUUGUGACCCUUUACAGACUACUGCAGGCGAGUCCUGAAAAAGCAGACCAACAGCAGAGGUUCUUAAAUAAGAUCAAUCACUUUUCUCUAUCACUGGUUUCCAACUUGAGUCCUAAGUUGAUGAGCCAGAUGCUCACUGCCCUAGUGGUCCUUGAUCAGACUCAGGCACUUCCCCUGGUGAUCAAGCUGAGUAAAUACGCCGUGCGGCACAUCGCUCGUUUCACUAGUGAAGAGCUCAGAAAGGUCUUAGAGGCGUUCAUAUACUUUGGGCACAGUGACAGAUUCUUUACAGAAACCCUGGAGCAGCAUGUUGCCUCACUGUGUCUCACUCUGGAUCCUGAGCUUCUCAGCAGAGCCAUGGAGUACUGCAGCAGAAAGCUGAUCCUCUCAGAGCCCAUCUUCAAUGCAGUGGCAGAAGCUUUUGUUUGUCAAACAGAAAAGUUUUCACCUAGUCAAACUGCCGAGUUAAUUGAGCCAUUUGGAAAACUCAACUAUUUGCCACCAAAUGCUUCUGCUUUAUUUAGAAAGCUCGAAAACAUGCUGUUAACCCACUUCAAUCAUUUUCCCCCAAAAACACUGCUGAAGCUUCUCCACUCUUGUUCACUUAUUGAGCGCCAUCCGGUCAACUUUAUGGCCAAGAUAUUCAGCCCAUAUUUUCUCCAGCAGCUUCAAGGUGAAGAGUCCUAUUUGGACAGACUGAGCCUAGCGCAACUGACCCAACUCUUCUUAACCUCGAUUCUAGAAUGCCCAUUCUAUAAGGGUCCAAAACUUCUUCCUAAGUUUCAAGUGAAAUCCUUUCUUACUCCAUGCUCUUCCCUGGAGACCCCCAUGGAUUUUCACCUUUAUAAAUCUGUGAUGAUUGGACUGAUCGACUUGUUAGGAGCAAGACUGUAUUUUGCUUCAAAAGUGUUAACACCCUAUUGCUACACAAUAGCCUUCUGCCCAGUUGAUAAACGCAGUGCGGAAGAAAUCAAAACAGCCAGAAGGGAAGGAAGCUAGUGUUUGUGAGGGUAUCACACGAAGACUUUUUCCUUUCUUCUCUCACCAGAUGUUGAAAUUAAAUUAGAUGAAGACGGAUUUGUAUUACCCUUUACAACUGAUGAAGAUGUACAUAAAAGAGUAGCAUUGUGCAUUGAUGGUCCAAAAAGGUUUUGUCUGAAUAGCAAACACUUACUGGGGAAGGAGGCUACUAAACAAAGACACCUGCACUUGCUUGGUUAUCAAGUUGUCCAGAUACCAUAUUAUGAGAUUGAGAUGCUAAAAUCAAGACUGGAAUUAGUGGACUAUUUACAAGGAAAACUAUUUUCUCAAAACUCAGGUGGUCAUUGGUAAUAAGAAUGAAUAUGGACUUAUGAGCUCACAUAGUGAAAGAACUUGCAAAUUAGCCAUUUAUUUAUGGAAUGAUCUGAAAAGGGUCUCUUGUUUCCUUGUACUAUGUAUACACUUUUGUUGUUAUUCAGUCACUAAGUCGAGUCCGAUUCUUUGCAACCCCAUGGACUGCGGCACGCCAGGCUUCCCUGUCCUUCACCAUCUCCCGGAGUUUUGCUCAAACUCAUUGAGUCAGUGAUGCCA